rnacentral:lncRNA from 1 species
CCAUUAUAAAGAUGAUACACAUACUUUGUUACCUGAGGGAAAAAAUAACUAGAACAGCAUCUUCUUUGGCGUGCUUGGGGAACCACGUUAAAAUUGAUUCUACGUGCCCGUGACCUCUUCUCAGGGAAUUCUGAGCUCCCCCGAGUCACACCCCCAUCUAGAUGAGGAGAGGAGGACGUGUCCCCUGGUUCAGUCUCGGGUGCCCAGUACCCAGCAGACGUCAGGGUGGAGGCAAACCGGCCUUUCGGUUAGUCCUUGUAGACGUGUUAAAAAAAAAAAUCCAGAACUGGCAUUUUUACUACUUUUAGUUAGCUCUUUGGCCUCUUUUUAUUUGGGGAUGGGUGGUGGGCAGUUUAUUAAAAG